AUUAUUUUAAAACAACGGCGCGAAUUAAAAUAAUUAUCUUUUAAAAAAUUAUUCCUAGUUCCAGUUCCCGGCUUCCAGCCAACAGCCAAAGAGUGCAGCUUUACACUCACAUGGAAAUCCCUGUUAAAUGAAGAAAGCAACUCUGGUCUUCAAAAUCCCAACUACCAAAUUCCCUCCUUGUAACUUUUACUUCUCUUCCUCAUCACUGGCGGGCCCACCUUACAAUCUCACUACUUGUUUUGCUUCUUUCAAACAAUGUAUUCUCGACAAGAACCUCAAGAAAGGCCAACAACUUCAUGCCCAGCUGCUUAUUACUGGUCUUCAGGCCUCCUCUCCAGCAUACACCACCAGUCUCAUCAACAUGUACGCUAAAUGCAAUUUAAUGAACCAAGCCCUUCUGGUCUUUAACAGCACCCCUGAUUAUGAUCGUAAUGUUUUUACACACAACGCGAUCAUUUCUGGGUUUGUUUCCAAUGGGCUUCCAAGAUAUGGAUUUGAAUUUUAUAAAGAGAUGAGAAGGCUAGGUGUUUUGCCGGAUAAAGUUACUUUUCCUUGUUUAAUUAAGGGGCUUUGUGAGAUUAUGGAGGUUUACGAGGUGAAAAACAUUCAUGGCUUGGCGUUUAAACUUGGGUUGGAGUUGGACGUGUUUGUGGGUAGUGCUUUGAUCAGUGCCUAUUUGAAGUUUGAGUUAAUGGAUGAGGCGCAUGAGCUGUUUGAUAGAAUGCCUGAAAGGGAUGUUGUGUUGUGGAAUUCCAUGGUUAAUGGGUGUGCGCAGACUGGUAAGUUCAAUGAAGCAUUGGGAAUUUUUAGGAAAAUGAGGAAAGAGGGGGUUACAAUAAGCGGGUUUACAGCUACUGGGGUUUUGUCAGUUUUUGCUGUGACCGGGGAUUUUGAUAAAGGGAGGAUGGUUCAUGGAUUUGUGAUAAAAAUUGGGUUUGGUUCAGAUGUUUCCAUCUGCAAUGCGUUGAUUGAUAUGUAUGGGAAGUGCAAGUUUGUUGCUAAUGCAUUGGAGAUUUUUGAAACAAUGGAUGACAGGGAUAUAUUUUCAUGGAAUUCAAUUAUAUCUGUUACCGAGCAGUCUGGUGAUCAUGAUGGAACUUUGAGGCUUUUUAAUAGGAUGUUUGAUGAUGGGAUUUGCCCUGAUUUGCUUACUAUUAAAACGGUUCUUCCAGCUUGUUCUCAUGUGGCUGCAUUGAUGCAUGGCAGAGAGAUUCAUCGCUACAUGAUUGUAAAUGAGUUGGCAAAAGAUGGAAAGAGUGGAGAUGUCAAUAAUGUUCUACUGAAUAAUGCCAUCUUGGACAUGUAUGCAAAAUGUGGGAGUAUGAGGGAUGCUCACUUGGUUUUCAAUAAAAUGAUCUGUAAGGAUGUGGCAUCAUGGAACAUAAUGAUCAUGGGCUAUGGUAUGCAUGGUUACGGCAAUGAAGCCUUAGGUCUGUUUUCACAGAUGUGUGAUGCAGGAGUCGAGCCCAAUGAGGUUACAUUUGUAGGUGUCCUGUCUGCUUGCAGCCAUGCAGGUUUCGUGAUCCAGGGGCAAGAGUUUCUCAGGCAAAUGGAAUUGAAGUAUGGCGUGGUUCCAACCAUAGAGCAUUAUGCUUGCAUUAUUGACAUGCUUGGUCGUGCUGGACAGCUUGAAGAAGCUUACAAAUUGGCCCAAACGAUGCCUGUUAAAGCAAACACAGUUGCGUGGAGAGCUUUGUUGGCGGCUUGUCAGCUCCAUUGUAAUGCAGAUCUUGCUGAGGUUGUGGCACGGCAGGUGUUUGAGCUUGAUCCUGGGCAUUGUGGUAGUUAUGUAUUGAUGUCAAAUGUUUAUGUAACUGCUGGUCAAUAUGAAGAAGUGUUGGAUGUUAGACAUACAAUGAGACAACAAAAUGUGAAGAAGGCACCAGGGUGCAGCUGGAUUGAACUUAAGAAUGGCUUGCAUACUUUUAUUACCAGUGAUCAGACUCAUCCUGAAGCCAAUUGUAUUUAUUUAGUAUUGCAUUUAUUGACCUCUCGUCUGCGUGAGCAAGGAUACAUGCCUCACCUCUGCUAAAUGGUUUUAAUGGAAAUUUGUUUGAGAUUUUUUAGUCUAUCCUCUCCACAAUCGAUGGGAAAGAAAAUAAACAUUCUUGAUGUGAAAGUUUGUUUUUGGUUUGCACUUACAGAGAAUCGCUUUUGUUGGCCCUUAUUCUGCAAUAACAAGUUAAAAGCGGAAUUUGAUACAAAUGUUCACAAAGAAGGUGAAGAUCAAUCUCUGCGUAUGCACCAGAAGAAGUUGUGUUGUGCUCAAACCACACAUCUUAGUAGAUGAUUUUAGGGUCUUACAUGGAGUCCGUUGUGAGAUCCAAUGCAAUCUGGUACCAUAAAUGUAGUUUAAAA
rnacentral:misc_RNA from 1 species